rnacentral:rRNA from 1 species
AUUGAACGCUGGCGGCAUGCUUUGCACAUGCAAGUCGAACGGCAGCACGGGUGCUUGCACCUGGUGGCGAGUGGCGAACGGGUGAGUAAUGUCUCGGAACGUACCCGGCAAUGGGGGAUAACGUAGCGAAAGUUACGCUAAUACCGCAUAUGCCCUGAGGGGGAACGUGGGGGAUCGCAAGCCCUCCCGUUGUCGGAGCGGCCGAUAUCGGAUUAGCUAGUUGGUGGGGUAAAGGCCUACCAAGGCGACGAUCUGUAGUUGGUCUGAGAGGACGACCAGCCACACUGGGACUGAGACACGGCCCAGACUCCUACGGGAGGCAGCAGUGGGGAAUUUUGGACAAUGGGGGCAACCCUGAUCCAGCCAUGCCGCGUGAGUGAAGAAGGCCUUCGGGUUGUAAAGCUCUUUCGGACAGAAAGAAAUCGCCACUUCUAAUAAAGGUGGUGGAUGACGGUACUGUAAGAAGAAGCACCGGCUAACUACGUGCCAGCCGCCGCAGUAA